AGAGUUAGCGGCGGACGGGUGAGUAACACGUGGGUAACCUGCCCAUAAGACUGGGAUAACUCCGGGAAACCGGGGCUAAUACCGGAUAACAUUUUGAACUGCAUGGUUCGAAAUUGAAAGGCGGCUUCGGCUGUCACUUAUGGAUGGACCCGCGUCGCAUUAGCUAGUUGGUGAGGUAACGGCUCACCAAGGCAACGAUGCGUAGCCGACCUGAGAGGGUGAUCGGCCACACUGGGACUGAGACACGGCCCAGACUCCUACGGGAGGCAGCAGUAGGGAAUCUUCCGCAAUGGACGAAAGUCUGACGGAGCAACGCCGCGUGAGUGAUGAAGGCUUUCGGGUCGUAAAACUCUGUUGUUAGGGAAGAACAAGUGCUAGUUGAAUAAGCUGGCACCUUGACGGUACCUAACCAGAAAGCCACGGCUAACUACGUGCCAGCAGCCGCGGUAAUACGUAGGUGGCAAGCGUUAUCCGGAAUUAUUGGGCGUAAAGCGCGCGCAGGUGGUUUCUUAAGUCUGAUGUGAAAGCCCACGGCUCAACCGUGGAGGGUCAUUGGAAACUGGGAGACUUGAGUGCAGAAGAGGAAAGUGGAAUUCCAUGUGUAGCGGUGAAAUGCGUAGAGAUAUGGAGGAACACCAGUGGCGAAGGCGACNUUUCUGGUCUGUAACUGACACUGAGGCGCGAAAGCGUGGGGAGCAAACAGGAUUAGAUACCCUUGGUAGUCCACGCCGUAACGAUAGUGCUAG
rnacentral:rRNA from 1 species